rnacentral:rRNA from 1 species
GAUGAACGCUGGCGGCGUGCCUAACACAUGCAAGUCGAACGGAGAUUACGGACGCUUGUUUUCGGAUGGAAGGCUGUAAUUGUUAGUGGCGGACGGGUGAGUAACGCGUGGGCGACCUGCCCAAUACAGGGGGAUAGCAGCUGGAAACGGCUGGUAAGACCACAUAAAUCGGCGAGACCUCAUAGAUUUGCUGGGAUAUGUGCAAUAAGGUAUCGCGUGGGGUCGGCUACGUGUUGCCAGAUGGACGCGUAAAAGCCUAGCAAAGCAACGAUCGUUAGAUGGACUGAGAGGACGGACCGACACAUUGGGACUGAGACACGGCCCGAACUACUACGGGAGGCAGCAGUGGGGGAUAUUGCACAAUGGAGGAGACUAGGAUGCAGCGACGUCGCGUGAGUGAGUAAGUAUUUAGGUAUGUAAAGCUGUAUCAAAAGGGAAGAUAAUGACGGUACCUGACCAAGAAGCCCCGGCUAACUACGUG